UACGGGGGGGGCAAGCGUUGUUCGGAAUUACUGGGCGUAAAGGGCUCGUAGGCGGCCGACUAAGUCGGACGUGAAAUCCCCAGGCUCAACCUGGGAACUGCGUCCGAUACUGGAUGGCUUGAAUUCGGGAGAGGGAUGCAGAAUUCCAGGUGUAGCGGUGAAAUGCGUAGAUAUCUGGAGGAAUACCGGUGGCGAAGGCGGCAUCCUGGACCGACAUUGACGCUGAGGAGCGAAAGCUAGGGGAGCAAACGGG
rnacentral:rRNA from 1 species